GCCAGGCAUGGUGGUACGUGCCUGUAGUCCAAGCUACUUGGGAGGCUGAGAUAGGAGGAUCGUGUGAGCCCAGGAGGUUGAGGCUGCAGUGAGCUAUGAUUGCACCAUUGCACUCCAGCCUGGGCAACAGAAUGAGAUCCUGUCUCAA
ensembl:misc_RNA Metazoa_SRP Metazoan signal recognition particle RNA